rnacentral:rRNA from 1 species
GACGAACGCUGGCGGCGUGCUUAACACAUGCAAGUCGAACGGAAAGGCCCUGCUUUUGUGGGGUGCUCGAGUGGCGAACGGGUGAGUAACACGUGAGUAACCUGCCCUUGACUUUGGGAUAACUUCAGGAAACUGGGGCUAAUACCGGAUAGGAGCUCCUGCUGCAUGGUGGGGGUUGGAAAGUUUCGGCGGUUGGGGAUGGACUCGCGGCUUAUCAGCUUGUUGGUGGGGUAGUGGCUUACCAAGGCUUUGACGGGUAGCCGGCCUGAGAGGGUGACCGGCCACAUUGGGAACGAGAUACGGCCCAGACUUCGACGGGAGGCAGGAGUGGGAAUAUUGAACAAUGGGCGGAAGCCUGAUGCAGCAACGCCGCGUGCGGGAUGACGGCCUUCGGGUUGUAAACCGCUUUCGCCUGUGACGAAGCGUGAGUGACGGUAAUGGGUAAAGAAGCACCGGCUAACUACGUG